rnacentral:lncRNA from 1 species
UAAGGGGUGAGUGUCAGCCAAGUCAUCAGCUAUCAGAACACGAAGCCAUCAGGUAAUAUAUCAAGUUGAUAUAUUAAGAAAGAGGGAUCUAUCUAUUAUAUAACAGAGAUAAGCACUCAGAUAUAUGGAUUAUAAAUAGUUUAGAAAAUUUAAAUAUUUGAUUAUUCAGAAAGUAGACUUGGGAGUAUUGGAGAAACAGGUUGGGGAGUAGACUGCAUGGAAAGCUCUUUCUUAGUGUGGGAUUUUCAAUUAUGCACAUAGGUUUCUUACAUAACAUGGAAAAUUCAAUUAAGAAACAACAUUGUGUUUUGGGGUCCCAAAAGUUCAGUGAUUGAUUAGAAGGACUCACAAAACUGAGUCAAGCUGUUAUACUCACAGUUAUAGUUUAUUACAACAAAAGGAUACAGAUUAAAAUCAGCAGCAGAAAAGGGUGCAUAGGGCAG